rnacentral:rRNA from 1 species
UACGUAGGUGGCAAGCGCUGUUCGGAAUUACUGGGCGUAAAGCGCGCGUAGGCGGCUCUUCAAGUCAGGCGUGAAAGCCCCGAGCUUAACUCGGGAACUGCGCUUGAUACUGUCGAGCUAGAGUGUGGAAGGGGCGAUUGGAAUUCCGUGUGUAGCGGUGAAAUGCGUAGAUAUACGGAGGAACACCAGGGGCGAAGGCGGAUCGCUGGGCCAACACUGACGCUGAUGCGCGAAAGCUAGGGGAGCAAACGGG